CAAUUUAAUGUUUUUAUUCAAUGGUCAUGGUUAUUGGUAGGGAUGUCAAUGGGUAUGGAUACCUGAAAUUUUAUCCGAACCUGAACCCGAAUGAAAUGGAUAUAUCCGAUACUAAAUGGAUAUGGAUUUGGAUAUGGAUAGCAAAAAUAAAAACCCGACGGAUAUGGAUUCGGAUAUGGAUUUUAACUGUACUCGACCCGAACCCGAACCCGACCCAAACCCGAAUUUAUUUUGUAUUAUAUAUAUCUAUAUAUAUAUAUAUAUAAAUUUGAUGUUAUAUUUAAAUUUGUAUUUUAAAAAUUAAGAUUUAAUAUGAUAUAUUUUGAAAUAUUGAAAAAAGAAAUAAUUAUUUCGGAUUCAAAUUUUCGGGUUUGGGUUCGGGUUUGGGUUUCGGAUUUUUGGUCGGGUUUGAAUAUGGAUUUUUAAAAUACGUCGGGUUCAGAUUCGGGUUCGGGUCCCGAAUUUGGAGUUGGGUUCUUAUUCGAAUUUUUAAAAAUUCGUCCGGAAUUUGACCGGUUGACAUCUCUAAUUAUUGGCAAUAACUCACCGAAUCCAUCGUUCCGACUCAUAACAA
rnacentral:lncRNA from 1 species